rnacentral:misc_RNA from 1 species
UUAAUGAGUAGAUCUUGUAAAUAAAACUUCACUAUUAGCUCCCAAUUGCAUAUUCUACGAAAGCCGGUGUUUGUUUGAUCACACCAAACUACACCACAUUACACUCGAAAAAAGAUUUCAACAACGAAACAGACACAUAAUAAACAGAAAAUUAUCACGUUACCUAUGCCCAAAUGGAACCUACAUGUCUGAUUAAAUUUACAAGAUCUACUCAUUAAUGAAGUUUCAGUACAACAUUCUUGCGACUGUGAUAUAGAUGAUCUUGUAAUGCAGGCUUUUAAUCACACGCCCCAAACACCACGAGUUGCUGUGAAUUUGUAGUUUGGUCUAGAUGUCAACUCAUACAAGAUCCUUGCAAAUGUAUCAGAAUAUCUGCUCUCUGAGAAGAGAAUCUCUGCAAAUGCAUUCUCAUAAGCAAGCAGCACGGCCCUGUUCUGUGGCUCAGAGACCAGGCUCUCCAGUAUCAUUGCUGCUUUCCUGCAGACUUCUGGUACUGGAUGCGGCGUCUUGAUCACUUUCAGUAGCCGAUCAACUGCCCAUCGCUCGCUAGCAAGCUUCAAUCUGCAAUCCAUAUUAACUUCUGCAAAGUUGUAGAGUGCACCAACAGCUGCUGCUUGUGCAUCUAAUGCCUGUAUGCUCAUAAGGUCUACCAAACGCUUAUGUAUCUGUGGAACAAAGGGUAGGAGGAAAGGUUCAUUGUCAGGAUUAAUUAUCAUGCGCCCCAGUAAUUCUGCAGCAGCACAGUGCCA